rnacentral:lncRNA from 1 species
CAAAAUUACACUGUAAAUAAAAUUAUUGUGGACACUGACAAUUAAAUAUUGACUCAACAAAUGAAUUCACAAUAAUAAGCCCCAAACGAAAAAAAAAAUCCACAUUAUUAAUUUUAGCUGUUGGUCUGAAGUAAAAAUAAAAAAUAUUCAUUCAUCAAACAUAAAACUGUGCUUUGGCAAUUUAUCAAAGAGCAGUGAAAAUUGUGUUUGUGUUUGGCGAACAAACCUUGCAGCAAAAGCGCGUGUACGCAUGCGCGUGAGAGUCGUUUGUUGGAUCAGGUUUAAAUUCCAGCGCAGCAAUCGCAGAGCUCCUCCGAAACAUCAUAUUCAGGCGAUUUUCCUUCAUCAAAGUUAUGAAUGGUUGCUUCCACGAAUCCUGCAACUUCCACAUCUUCAAGUGAUUCUGAUGUAAAUCUGCUGUCCAGAAUCAGCUGGUUUGUCUUAGUUGGGCAUCUCUGCUGAGACCAGUCCACUAUGGGUGACCCUACCGGUAUCUGUGAAGUACCAGUGGCGAAGCUCUCAGCAUCACUGAUGCACACAAGCCCUCACAGCACGUCAAGCUGCAAACCACGUGAGGGACCCUAACCUAACCUAACCUAACCUACCCUAACCUAACAGACACCCCAAACCACUUAACGCAUCGAAACUCUCAGAAGAGUCCAGCGACCGACCAGCAACACGAGAACAACCGCUCAGAAAACCUCGACAACCGUGCAGAAAACCACCUGAAACAUCCUGAAGACCACCGAGCAAACCAAGAACUUCAAGUCAACAACACCAACACCAACAACCAACCAGUUGAUGAAACAAAACAUGCAAAAGGAAACUUACUGUGAACUUGCUCUACAACUAUGUACACUAUAUACAUACGCAGGCCUGCAGUGUGGUUUGGGACACUGUGAAGACUCAGCGUCUGGCCCU